rnacentral:rRNA from 1 species
GCGAGCUCGGUGGCGAGGUGUGAGGGAGACGGUGGGGGGGAAGGGUUGUGCGGAGUUGUUGGGCGUAGAGAGCGCGUAGGGGGUUUGGGUGGGCGGCCGUGAAAACGCGAGGCUUAACCUCGUGGCUGGCGGUGGAUACGGGCAGACUAGGGGUAGGUAGGGGAGAAUGGAAUUCCCGGUGUAGCGGUGAAAUGCGCAGAUAUCGGGAGGAACACCGGUGGCGAAGGCGGUUCUCUGGGCCUUACCUGACGCUGAGGAGCGAAAGCGUGGGGAGCGAACAGGAUUAGAUACCCAGUAGUC